CUCCGACCUUCGCAAUGCUUUGUUUUAAUUAAACAGUCGGAUUCCCCUUGUCCGCUCCAGUUCUGAGUUGGUUGUUCCACGCGCUAGGGAAAGCCAAGAGCCGAAACUCAAGGCGUCCUCGGGCCCUCAGGAGGGCCAACGAGCCGGGCCGCACACUCCGUGAGGAAGCGCAGCCGAAGCCCAUAAGCAUCCUCUUUUGUUCCCGAGACCCCUAGGCCCAACCCUCAGAGCCAAUCCUUUUCCCGAGGUUACGGAUCUAUUUUGCCGACUUCCCUUAUCCACAUUGCUCUAUCGACUAGAGGCUACUCACCUUGGAGACCUGAUGCGGUUAUGAGUACGACCUGGGGUGCGAAUAAGUCACGCCACCGGAUUUUCAAGGGCCGUCUGGAGAGCACCGGACAGCUCAAAGGUUAAGCUGCUUUCCCAGCCACCAGACCCUAUCGCCGGAUAAUCCGAUUCCAGGGCCUGUCGAACUGUUAACAAGAAAAGAGAACUCUUCCCGGGACUCCAGCCGACGUCUCCGAUUUUGCUUGUGUUACCACUCGUUAUCCACGUCCAGGUUCGGGAAUUUUAACCCGAUUCCCUUUCGAUAAACAGGGCUCUCCGAAGACAGCCCGUUUUCUAACGGAAUUAUCCUAUCUCUUAGGAUCGACUAACCCAUGUCCAAUUGCUGUUCACAUGGAACCUUUCUCCGCUUCAGUCUUCAAAGUUCUCAUUUGAAUAGUUGCUACUACCACCAAGAUCUGCACUAUUGCACGUUUCACCCGGGCUCACGCCCAAGGCUUCUGCACGAGCAACACGCCCUCCUACUCAUCAGUGCAUACAUCUCGCACUGAUGGCUUAGUAUAAGUCGCACGCUUUAGCGCCAUCCAUUUUCAGGGCUAGUUCAUUCGGCAGGUGAGUUGUUACACACUCCUUAGCGGGUUCCGACUUCCAUGGCCACCGUCCUGCUGUCUAAAUGAACCAACACCUUUUGUGGGAUCUAGGUGAGCGAGCAGUUAGGCACUUUAACUAAGCGUUCGGAUCAUCCCGCAUCGCCAGUCCAGCUUACCCGGACUGGCCCACUAGCAACCGAGAUUCGACCGCAGGGUUCAAUUAAGCAACCCCGGGUUCUUACCCAUUUAAAGUUUGAGAAUAGGUCGAGGUCAUUCCGACCCCGAGGCCUCUAAUCAUUCGCUUUACCUGAUAAAACUCUUAACCGGUUGCAGCUAUCCUAAGGGAAAUUUCGGAGGGAACCAGCUACUAGAUGGUUCGAUUAGUCUUUCGCCCCUAUACCCAAAUUUGACGAUCGAUUUGCACGUCAGAAUCGCUACGAGCCUCCACCAGAGUUUCCCCUGGCUUCGCCCUAUUCAGGCAUAGUUCACCAUCUUUCGGGUCCCAACAUAAAUGCUCACACUCAAACCUUUAGCCCGAAGGCAUAAUGGUCGGUCGAUGGUGCUCCAAACGGAUCCCACCUGAGCUGACGGAAGCCAGCCUUUACUUUCAUUGCGCACAUUGGUUUGUCACCAAAGUACUCGCACGUAUGUUAGACUCCUUGGUCCGUGUUUCAAGACGGGGUAAAUAAAGCCAUUUCGUCAGGAUCCUGACCUUGCAUGCAUAAUACGCACAGUCCAACUACUGCAACUGAGCACUGCAAGCAGUAGAACAGAGACAGCAACGGGAGAGGAACGCACAGGCAACGGCAAGAUGGAACCUCAGUCCAAGCCACGACAGAGAAUGUAUGUUCCGCAAAAAGCAUCCAGCAUACAAAACAUAUCCCGCGGCAGAGAACUCAUCCUGACAAGCUCAAAGUCCUCGAUACACAAUCCCCGCAGGGAG
rnacentral:rRNA from 1 species